CCCCUCUCCCCAGCACCUGCCGCCAUUGCUCCUGCACACAUUUUUAAGGUCUGGCACCAGAGAUCAUAUGGCAGACUAAGCCCUGGGAAGAUGCCUGCUGUCAAGAACAAUUAUUUGUAACUUUUUAACAAAUUCAAACAAUGAUGCAAUAAAUAUCCUUGGAAAAGUUUUUAGCAGCUAGAUGGAGAACUGAGGCCCAAGAUCCUACAGUGACUUCGGAGAAGAUCGGGGCCUCACGUGUGGAUUCCUGAUACCAAAGAACAUCAGACCCCAUAGAAGCCAGAGGAGGACUGUAAGGGAAGGAAGACCUUCCUAAUUAUCGAAGUUGCCCAGCCCAGGGACCUCUGGUUCCCCAUUGCCAGAGGACUGCA